CCCAUGUGACUGCAGCCCGCUGGCCACCCGGCCCACCGCCACCCAGCGUGGCUCUUCGCUGUGCAGGGUCUGGUCACUGAAGUGCCUCUUUCCAAACUGUAGGCCAUCGAAGAAAUUCCAAGCAGACAAGUCCCAUGUCCUUUCUUGCCUCUGUGGGAUGACCUGAGGAGUGCGUAGGACCCUUCUACUCAUAAUUGCAGUGAGCACAGGUUGUCAAGGCUGUGAGUGUCUGCUGCACCCGUGCGCGUGGGCCGCUGAGCCCCAGGAAGGCUCCCUGAUGGUGCAGGCGUGGGCCGCUGAGCCCCAGGAAGGCCCCCUGAUGGUGCACGUGGGUCGCUGAGCCCCAGGAAGGCUCCCUGAUGGUGCAGGCACGCGUGGGCCGCUGAGCUCCAGGAAGGCUCCCUGAUGGUGCGGGCAGGCGUGGGCCGCUGAGCCCCAGGAAGGCCCCCUGAUGGUGCACGUGGGCCGCUGAGCCCCAGGAAGGCCCCCUGAUGGUGCAGGCACGCGUGGGCCGCUGAGCCCCAGGAAGGCCCCCUGAUGGUGCACGUGGGCCGCUGAGCCCCAGGAAGGCUCCCUGAUGGUGCAGGCACGCGUGGGCCGCUGAGCCCCAGGAAGGCUCCCUGAUGGUGCGCGUGUGGUUCGAGGCGGCGGUGCGCGUUCAGCUCCUCUCUGUCCCCUCUCGGGAGCUCCCGGACUCUCCAGGCUGCUUCACGCCGCAGCCUGGCUUCGUGGAUGUGUCCAGCCUCAGCAUACCCCACCACCUGAUGGCACAGCUUUACUCUUACCACUGUGGCCUCUCUUGCAUUGUCUUCUCUUCACUCCCUUCCCCCUUCCCCUUUCUCAGCUAACACUGUGCUCCGUUAACCCUUCGUGGCCAGGGUGAAGCCUCGAGAAGCCCCUGUAGAACUCUCCCCACCUCUUCCAGUGUGUGCGGCUUUUUUCGUGUGUGUGUGUGUGUGUGUGUGUGUGUGUGUUUAUACACUAAUCCUGGCACUCAUGACAAUGACAGGUAGUCUUUCCCUGAGUGGUCAUCCUUUGAUUGUGUGUGUGCGCAUGUGUCGUUUUUCCAGCCAGUGACAGACCCUGUGGGAGGAACCACCGCCGCAUGCUGUGUCUGAUUCCUUCAUUUGCUCUUCACACCGAAACGAGAAAGCUAAGACACGUUUCAGCUAGGACUCCGCACAUCAGAUAAAGCCUGCAUUUCUCUGAGGUGCUCGCAGCUGAUGUAUAUCGUUUUAAUGCCAGACUGGUGGGCUCUGCAGAUGCACCCCUUCAUUUAGUACUCCUGAGAGGGUCCAGUGGCAUUGAACUUGCGCAUGAUGUGAUUCAAACCCGAUAGGCAGAGCUCACGUUACUCGUCAGUGACAUUCCCCUGAACACCGUAUUAGAAGUUUGGGGUUUUCCAGGUAUAGGAAAGUGUGGCCCUGUCUACAGAAUGGCAGCAGCUGUCUAGCAGGCGGAGAACAGACGUGUCAGUGUUCAGGCGUCCCCCGUGGAUGCGUCUCUGCAGGUCUCCUGGAAUUCACAGGGCGCGGAAGGCACCCAGCAGCUCUCUGUGCCCCAGGCUUCCGUCCCACACCUCUGCCCUGGUGGUGCUGUGUCUCGCUGUGUGUGUCACCCUCAAGCGAAUGUCUCAGGCAGCUCCUGAGUGCCCCCAGCUGUGCCCACCCCCCCCAACCCCACACACCCACACACCCACACACCCACACACACCCCGCACUGCUGUCACACGUGGUGUGCUGGAGCCAGCUUCUCUCUCAGUCAGCUGUUGGAUUUUCAGGGAAUUCUGCAGACCUGCUGCUGACAUGACCUGCCAGCGCGGAAUCAGGCGUGGCGGGGGUGGGGGAGUGUUCACAGCUGCAGAGGUGCACGCCCGAUCUGAGCGUUAAAACGUCUCCCAGGUCGCACUGCGGCUGCGUCCCCCUGUGUUGUUACGCUGGCUGGGCUUUCGUUUUGCAGUUUGCUUUCUCAGAGCACUGCACCGGUCUCUGGGGUUUGUCUUUCGUUGACUCACACACGGUGUCAGUCUUGCUCUGCAGAGUGUGUCCCGUACAUGCAGCGGGCAGAGUCCGGCGGCCAGCGCCGAGGAAGUACGUGUAAGUAAACCAGCUGACUGCACUCAGUGGAGAGCAACUGCUGUUGGAGAAGUCAUGUUGAGAUAACUGCCCAUCAGUAGGAAAAGAAAGGGUUGUAUCUCUGUCUUACUUUAAUGUAACAAGUUAUAGAUGAGUAAUAUGGAAAUAUUUUAAAACCUAUAAACGUAUUAGAAGAAAAUAUGGAAAUCAUUUUUAGCAUUUGCUGCGUGGGAAAGGCCUUUUAAAGGAAGAUAGGAAAUCAAGAAGCCGUAACAGGAAUGGUUGACAGAGUUUAUUGUGCAACAGUGUAGAAUUCCACAUGGUAAAACAUCAUAAACAAGGUUAAUGUAUCGAGUGACAAACUGGAAAAAAUGUUUGCAACAUUUCUAAAGGAUUGUGUAGAUACCCAAUUAAAUAAGCAGCUCCCACAAAUCACGAGUGACAGACACUGUCCUGAGAGGCGGGCUGCAGCCAAAGCCAGCUCACCGAAGCUAGCGGAAAGCCCACUGGAGCUAAAAACGGUCUUCACCAUCACUAGCAGUCUUGGAAACACUAAAUAAGGAGUUACCCUUGCUCAUGCAUAAGGCUGGCAGUAACCUUAGGUUGCUGAUGUCCAGUGUGCAGUGAGUUGAAGACUGGAAGGAACCUGCUCUGGGAUGUGGCAUCGUCCGUAGAGAAGGUGACUUGCAGAAUUCUCACAUGUUUUAAAUGCAUGUAGCGGUCAGUAAGCAGUCACACUUCUGGUUGUCUGUAUGAAACAGAUACGAGUAGGAGGAAUAGGACACUCAAUGACAGAUUUCCAGUUAGAGAAUACAGGACUCACCAUGUGUGUGUCCAUCUCAAGUAUGAGGCAGCAGGUUUUCAAAGUGAAACCUUGUAUGUUGCUGUGGAAGUACAUGCCAAGAGCAGCGAUUCCGCAGCCAGCGACAGCCCCCAGUCCCACACGGGACACUAGGCAGUGUCUGGUGUCAGGUCAGAGUGCAGAGCUGCGCGCUGGCAUCUGGUGGGCAGAGGCCAGGGGCUGAUGGGCACACUGCAGUGCACACAGCAGGGAGUGUCCUGCCCAGUGCCUCAGUGCCAAGGCCGAGGAGCCCCGGCGUGGGGAUCUGCUGAAAUCACAUCAGCACACGCCGCACUCAGGUCUCCAGGUAAGACAGGUUAGGAGGAAGAAUGGGGGCCUUUCGUCCAACAGCAUAUAAAGAAAGGAUGCUUUAUAAAUGAAGUUGAAAUUGAAAGACACACCCGAGUUAAACUGACAGGGCGAGUGGAGCAGACAAGUGAAAGGAAGAGAAAGCGCAAGGCAAAGAUCCUGUUCCCCUGUGGGUCUGAUGUGAGAAGGAGAGAAGUCAGGGACGCUGGCCUGCCGGGCCCAGAGUCUGAGCUCAGGAUUAGCAAGGCCUCAGAGGGAGGCAGAAGCCUGGACCCAGGUGUUGGGCUGCCCAGUAAGAAUUCAGACUCAGGUAAGGAGGGGGCGUUGUACAUUUUAGACUCUUCAGCAGGUGUGUGCCGUAGAUGGACUAAGCUUGCGUGGUUAGCAGUACUCUGGGUGCACUACCCAGGACCAGAGUGAAGGCACAGAGUCGUGGGCCCAGUGGGCUUGUGAGGCUGAUGGCCUGGAGGAUGGUGGGAGCAGUGGCCAGGAGAGGACAGGACAGAUUCAGGGACUUAUUUAAAGGAAAGCUGCUUUCCUUUGAAGUUUAUGAUUUUGAGUGGAGGCCAGGAAGGAGUGAUACAGACCUCUGUGAGUCACAGGGCUGUUUUAUAAGCAGGACUGAUUUAACCUUUCUAGGCUUAAAUUUUUCCUGUCUUAAGAAAUGACUAAUGUAUGUACUUUGCAGAUUUAUAUUAAGAAUUCACUCUUCAGGGUCUAUGCCACUACUUACAUUGGAAAAUUCCCCUGCUCUCUGCAUCUGAGAGCUCAGCCAGUAGGUGGCGCUCUAUGUCCUGGUUCUGAUCCAUCGUUGUGCUGGGUACCUGUGUGAUUUUCACUUUGUUAAAAAAAAAAAUCGCCCUUAAUUUAAGCAACAGCACUUUGCU